rnacentral:rRNA from 1 species
GUACACUCCUACGGGAGGCAGCAGUGGGGAAUAUUGCACAAUGGGCGCAAGCCUGAUGCAGCCAUGCCGCGUGUAUGAAGAAGGCCUUCGGGUUGUAAAGUACUUUCAGCGGGGAGGAAGGCGAUAAGGUUAAUAACCUUGUCGAUUGACGUUACCCGCAGAAGAAGCACCGGCUAACUCCGUGCCAGCAGCCGCGGUAAUACGGAGGGUGCAAGCGUUAAUCGGAAUUACUGGGCGUAAAGCGCACGCAGGCGGUCUGUCAAGUCGGAUGUGAAAUCCCCGGGCUCAACCUGGGAACUGCAUUCGAAACUGGCAGGCUAGAGUCUUGUAGAGGGGGGUAGAAUUCCAGGUGUAGCGGUGAAAUGCGUAGAGAUCUGGAGGAAUACCGGUGGCGAAGGCGGCCCCCUGGACAAAGACUGACGCUCAGGUGCGAAAGCGUGGGGAGCAAACAGGAUUAGAUACCCGUGUAGUCCCA